rnacentral:sRNA from 1 species
UGACAACCCGGUAAUGCUAUCGACGAGUC